UUUCGUACCCCCACACCUCUACUGUCAGGUUCAUUCCCACAACACUAACUGCCUUUAUUGCCAACAUAGUGUAUCAAUCACUACGGAAGCGACGUCGGCGAAAUAAUUAUGUAAGAUCUGUAUUAUAUCCUGCAUGAUUUUAGAGAUACAAAACCACAUUUUGAAAGCGACCGACUCCAUUUUGGAACAACUGAGAAUUUUAGAAUUAUUUUGUUGUCUAUUUGAGAUGAAUUAUGUAACAUCUGUAUUAUAUCUUCUUUGAUUUUACUGUUUAUUUGAGAUAAAUUAUGUAACAUAUGUAUAUCUUGAACAGUUCCUUCUCUAUGUUCUGUCAUAUUUUCCCACAUUAAAAACCGUGUAGGCUGUGUGGUCUUUUAAUUCUAUGAAACAGUGUUGUCUUUGUCUUUGUGUAUGAAUUAAGAGGGGAGAAACCGAAUAGGUUAUGCACAGGGAUUUCAUAUGAACGGGAAUGGUGGGGAUUGGGUGAGAGACCGGAUCACUAAUUCCCUGGGAGGUUAGAAACCACAGGUGAAUUCUACCAUGAGACAACCGAACAAGGCCUUAGGGGUCCAUAGUGCCGUGUGGGUCAGCCGGAGGGAGAGCCCGCGCCAUAUCCAACAAGAGCAGGAACGUGUCCGUAGGCACUCCAUGUCGGAUGCCGGGAGCCGCGUCAGACGCUGCCACACCUCCAUCGGCCACCUUCGUCCUCGCCCAGUUGUAAAAGAUGAGGGUGCGCCGCUAUUGUGGAACCUCGGUGGGCUCCGUCGCGAGCCGUGAUGGGGAGGCCGCCGUGGUACGUGCGCCGGGAGGUCGAGGCCGGUCUAUGCCCCGCCAUAGGCCAUUGUGUCAUCCAGCCCGAGCCACACACCUGAUUCGUCGGGUGCGCUCUAGCCGUUCCGUCCAGUGGAGGAGCAGCCAAGGCGCAUGGACGGGGGCAUCGCUAGCGAUGUUGACGAGAAGCAGCAGCGGUUGCCGCUCGAUCCAGUGCAAGAGAAAGGGAACGCAUGCGAUGGUCGUUGGGGUCUUUUCCCAACCAGAUGAAAAAGCAGCAAAAAGACCAGGUAACCCCGCUUCAAUUUGAGGAGGAGCCGAAGCCGGGGAUGAAGAGGCGGCCGAUUGUCGAAUACCACCGCUCUUGCCGCUCCAGCCCCACCACCACCCUUGCGGUCCUUGUCGCUCUUGCAUAGCUCCGGCCCAGCCACCACCACCGACGGCCCAUCGAACACUAGUAGUACUCCACGGCCGCCGCUCCCCUGCUCCAUGGCCGCCCACGCUGCUCCCCUGCUGCACCGCCAGUCGGGACUGAGGAUUGAGAAGAAAGGAGGAGGGGAUUCGGCGCCGCGCUCUACAGCUUGGCCCACCUGCUCCUUUGUCGGUGGUGGGGCGCAUCCAGCGGCUCCGCGGCUCCUCAUCCAGCGUCGGCACACGCGGAUCCAGCCUCUGACGCAUACAAGUUCGUCGCCGACAAAAAGACUCGAGCUUUUGACGAAGGUGGUGGGGAGAGGUCGGCGACGAGCGAGGGAGAGAACAAGAAGGAUGAGAGCGAGAGGGGAUGAGACAAUGAGCAAGUGGGCGAGUGCGUGGCGACGAAUGGCAUUUUGGAAAGGAUAGAAAUGUCGUAGUGUUACGCGAUUUGUACUAACAAACCUUUAACGACUUAUAAUUCGGAACGGAGGAAGUAUUAUCUUAUGUUACCUUCCCUGAUUGAAAGAUUAGGAAGUAUUAUCUUAUGUUA